GUUUUUUGGAAGUUUAUUGGAAGAUUAAUAUGUACAGAUAUUGGGCAGGCAGAAAAAAAGAGACUAUAUAACUGUUUGCUGGUGUAUUUUUGUCUGUACAGCAUUUGAACACCCUUUCUAUGUUUGUGGAAUGUUCUGCUGUGUGAUUCUUCAUGGUCUCAGAAUCUAUAAAGUCUAGACAUCUGUCUUCCCUGACCCUGGUAGAGCACAGGCACAUGAUCUCACUGUUCUAUGGUGGUGGUGAUCAUGGGGAUCAUCUCUAAAACAAGGGGUGCCAUCCAGUGUCCCGCUGCCGCAGCCAUACCAGCCUCACCAGAUUGUUCCUCUGUCAUCAUUUUUGCCAUAGUUAUGAUUGACUGGCCACUUUAAUCACUGCCCACUUCAAAAAAAAAAAAAAAAAAAAA
rnacentral:lncRNA from 1 species